rnacentral:rRNA from 1 species
GAUGAACGCUGGCGGCGUGCCUAAUACAUGCAAGUCGAGCGAACAGACGAGGAGCUUGCUCCUUCUACGUUAGCGGCGGACGGGUGAGUAACACGUAGGUAACCUACCUAUAAGACUGGGAUAACUUCUGGAAACCGGAGCUAAUACCGGAUAAUAUUUCGAACCGCAUGGUUCGAUAGUGAAAGAUGGCUUUGCUAUCACUUAUAGAUGGACCUGCGUCGUAUUAGCUAUUUGGUAAGGUAACGGCUUACCAAGGCAACGAUACGUAGCCGACCUGAGAGGGUGAUCGGCCACACUGGAACUGAGACACGGUCCAGACUCCUACGGGAGGCAGCAGUAGGGAAUCUUCCGAAAUGGGCGAAAGCCUGACGGAGCAACGCCGCGUGAGUGAUGAAGGUCUUCGGAUAGUAAAACUCUGUUAUUAGGGAAGAACAAACGUGUAAGUAACUGUGCACGUCUUGACGGUACCUAAUCAGAAAGCCACGGCUAACUACGUG